rnacentral:lncRNA from 1 species
GGCAAAUUAGCUGCAAGCUCUUGGCGAAUGAUUUUUGGCGGUUUUUCAGUAUAUUCUCUUCGGCUCUACGUUUACAAGAUUUUAUGAGAAGACGAGACAAGACCCGCUUGUUAACAAAAUUGCUACAGAUGUAUGAAUGAACAACACAGUAGAUAACAACAGAAAACAAGAUCUAAACCAUCUCAAAACCAUGGCAGAACAUUUGUAAAUCUAAUUCUCGUUAACUUUUGUAAAAACCAGAACUAACCAGAUAUUUCCCCCUACAAAGCAGUAAUGUUGAUGAUAAUAAAAUUUUGAGUUAAUCCAUUUUUCUAUAUUAUCUUAAGAUAUAUUUGAAUUGUAGAUAUUACAAAAAUCUUGAAUAAAAUUGUAAAACUGUAAA